CACAGCAGCAGCAGCAGUAGAUGGGUCCGGGCUUGUGGGCAAUAGCUAGAGCCUUCCUGUGGCUACUGCCCAGCAGCUUAGUCUCACAGGCAUCUCUCUCAUCUCGAAGCCUCAGAUUCAGCUCCCUAGAAAAGAGAGGUGGGAGACCGAGGAGGCUAAGAUCUAGAGGAGAAAGUGCAUGUGGGAGAUGCUUGCCCUGAGUCCAGAGAACUACAGAGCCUUCAGCAUGAAAGCUAUAGGGCAGACAUAAGGUCUUCCAGCAACAUGGGUACGAGCCCAUAAUAUUUGGAAACCUGAAACCACUUCACAUUAGCCCAGGCAGGCCUGACCCACCUCAGCAGCUCCAGCUGCCUUAAGAGGCUGAGUUUCUCUUUUUGCAUGUUCCUGGAGACAGCAACCACAUCCCUGUGGAUGGGAAGAUAGUGAUCCAGAUGCAAGGUGGUGGAAGAGACCCUCCUACCCAGACCACAGGCACUUCACCACACCUUUGGGUUUGCUCCUGACGACCUUGUGCUUCGCCCUCCAGUCGGCUAAGCUGCUCUUGCGCCUGGUCCAGCUGUGCCCUUAUGGCCUCAUAGGCCCUCUGCAGCUGGAUGUGCUGGGCCUGUGCCUCUAGCUGCUCUGCAGCCCGGGCCUGCAGCUGCUGUUCCAGCUGGGGAAUGGUGGAAUACUGGCUGGUGAACCACACCCCUCCGGUCCCAAGCUGACCCCAAACCCGUGCGGCUCCUGGUUGAGGACCCCAAGGCACAGAUACCCCUCCCCCCAAAAGAAGUUGAGUCUAGGCAAGGAACUCAAUGGCUUACCUCUCUCUGCCUCAGACCUGCGCGCUCCAACUCCUGCUCACGGGUCUGCAGCUCCAGCUCCAGGUGGCCCCUCUGUUCCUCCCGAGGUAGGUUCUGGGAUGUACAGCCGCACUAGAGCCUUCGCUCCGGGCUCAGAGGAGGAAGGCAAGGGUAGGGAGCGAAGGGGUGGAGAGCACGGGAAGGGGCGCUUGCUGAGGCAGAGCACAGUUCACCCAGGUUUGGGGCAGCUUGGACUCCUGAGGUGAGUCCUCUGGGGAGGGACCAAUUCGGGGAAGGCGGAGCCAGAGAGGCCAGCAGUAAGGCUGGGCGUGGCGUGCGCGGGCCCACCUGGCUCUGCCCGCGGUGUCGCUGCUCCCCGAGCUGCUGCUCCAGCUCUUCAUACAGUCCGCGCACCUCCCUCUCAUGUUCACUCUCCCGCCUUCGAGGAACCGGGACACCAUAGACAUGAUCAUUUCCGAGCCAAGUCUCUACCCACUCCGUAAGUCCCCAGACCUCGCCAGGCUAGGCCAGCCCUCACCGCCGCAGCGCCUGCUCAAGACCUUCGCGCUCCCGGGCCGCCGCCUCCAGGCAGGCCGAUGCGCGCAUCAGAACUUCCUCUAGAGAGCCCAACAACUCAGGUCGCUCGCGCUGCAGCCCGACCCAGAGUGUCCUCACAGCCCAUUGCCUGGAGGAUGCGAUCAGAGACGAGAACUGGUGGGUGAGGGUUUGUCUCACAGUGAAACCCCUGGAGAACCGAACUGGCACAUCGGCUGCACACAGUUCAUCCCUUGCUUGGUGCUCUCAUGCUUCCUUGACCUCUGCGAGUGUAAGGUGGCCUGUAUACCAAGAGCUGUGCCAGUGAGCGCCUAAGGUGUCUGGUGGCACCGCGCCCCGCAGAGCUAAGGCUUCCUGAAAUGCAAAUCCUGAGGAAAAUCACACCAGGCCACUCUCCACCAGACAGCCACAACAGACAAGGGAUGGACUGGCAGGACCUAGGGAUUCUAUAACAACAGAUAGGUGGGCAAGGUGGACAGACUGUAAACAGAGGAGGAAACACUCUCGAAAAGGGAGUGGGCAUCAACUCACUCGCCCAGGACCCGGGCCACUCCUAGCUUCUCCAAGGAAGUGUAGAAUGUCUCAACAUCGUCCUCCUCCUCCAGAGAGCCCCCUGUGCCCGACUCAAAGGUUUCCUCAGAAGUCCUCAAGGGGGAUCCACCUGGGACCGACUCCACCCCCACAAACUUCCCUGCAGACAUUCGAGGGGAGAUUAUCAGGACUUCGGGUUAGCACCCUGGACCUACCCAGCUCCCUCCAGCCUCGUACAAUCCUGCCCUCUCUCAGGGCCCAGUUUCCUGUUUUUCUUCCUUGUUCUGGUUCUAUUGGCCUGGGAAUGGGAAGUGACAGCCAGCUCCCCCGCCCCACCUUGGCUGGCAGAGAGGAAGGGAUUGGGGGAGGGCAGACCAUACACUGUAGAGUAGCUGGGGGUGGUACAGCUCAUAAUGUGCCUGUGUGUAGAUAACAGAAUGGCUGGGAAGUUGUGAAAGGCACAGGCUUUCUUUAGGUCUCCUGGGACCCUGGAGAGGGUCUCCAGGUGGCUGGGACCUGCUCACCCAAGCCUAGACAGAACUCCCGGGCUGUGAGGAAGCCAGUGUGGGCCUGGUCCAGACUUUCAAACACAGCCUCCAGCUGUUCAGGCGUAAGGGGAAGAUCACUCUGCAGACCCUGACCAGGCAAGAAAGACCACGGCACAGUCACCACCCCACCAACCGCUCCAGGGCUCCACGGGACCGGAGGUCCAUCCUGGCCGGAAGCCGCACUGCCGCCAGGCUCCAGGGAGUCCAGAGGAAAGGCAGCGGGGUGGGCCCACAGGCAAAUCUCAUCCACGCACGUCUGGGCUAGCUGUCUUCACCCCAGGAACACAGCCGUUCCAGACAGAGAUGCGUGCGGUCGCCGCUCCACACAGCGGUCCGAAGGUGCGACCACUGGAGCUUGUGGCCCGGGGUUGGGGGUGGGGAAGCCCGGAGGGCGCGGCGCUGGGACCCCAGCCGCGGGGACCUGCGAGCAAAUGCCUACCUGGGAGCAGCGCCGCCGCACCUGCCGCAGGCGGGCCGCUCCUCCCGGAAACGAGCAGCGCGCUCCGCCCCUGCCCGGACCCCGACAGCCCCCGAGGGGCGCGGACCCAGAGCUACCUUGCGGCCUUACAGGCCAGAAGACCCCGGGAUAGCACGUCCGGGUGGAUCCUCCACCCGAACGCUGCUGGAGCUUUGUCCCGCCUCUCCUGUCCUGGUGACCCGACCCAGAGUGGCUAGCUCUCCCCGGAGACCCACAGGGGGCAGCAAUGUUGUGUCCCUCACUCCUACCGCUUCCCUGUCCCCCGCCCCCCGCACCACCACCAAAGACCCUUUUAAGACAAAAUCAAGGCCGGAGAGGUGCCGAUUUGCCAGCCCCCACCCCGCCCGGAGUAUCCAGACUUAGGGUGCCAAGAAGUGUGUGUAGGAAAAUGCCGAGCAGGAAAUAAAACAAAUACUUUCAGUGGCUGUA